rnacentral:rRNA from 1 species
GCCACGCCGCGUGCCGGAAGACGGCCCUAUGGGUUGUAAACGGCUUUUAGGUGGGAAGAAAGUACGCCUUUCGAGGGGUAUUGACGGUACCACCAGAAUCAGCACCGGCUAACUCCGUGCCAGCAGCCGCGGUAAUACGGAGGGUGCAAGCGUUGUCCGGAAUUAUUGGGUGUAAAGGGUGCGCAGGCGGAAGCCUAAGUCGAGGGUGAAAGACAACCGCUUAACGGUUGCAGUGCCCCCGAUACUGGGUUUCUUGAGUUCAGAAGAGGUUGGUGGAAUUCGUGGUGUAGCGGUGAAAUGCAUAGAGAUCACGAAGAACACCAGUGGCGAAGGCGGCCAACUGGUCUGGAACUGGCGCUGAGGCACGAAAGCGUGGGGAGCGAACAGGAUUAGAUACCCUGGUAGUCCACGCUGUAAACGAUGUAUGCUCAGAUGUCGGCCCUUCGGGGUCGGUGUUGUAGUUAGCGCGCUAAGCAUACCACCUGGGGAGUACGUUCGCAAGAAUG